rnacentral:rRNA from 1 species
GACGAACGCUGGCGGCGUGCUUAACACAUGCAAGUCGAACGAAGAGCGAUGGAAGCUUGCUUCUAUCAAUCUUAGUGGCGAACGGGUGAGUAACGCGUAAUCAACCUGCCCUUCAGAGGGGGACAACAGUUGGAAACGACUGCUAAUACCGCAUACGAUCUAAUCUCGGCAUCGAGGAUGGAUGAAAGGUGGCCUCUACAUGUAAGCUAUCACUGAAGGAGGGGAUUGCGUCUGAUUAGCUAGUUGGGGGGGUAACGGCCCACCAAGGCGAUGAUCAGUAGCCGGUCUGAGAGGAUGAACGGCCACAUUGGGACUGAGACACGGCCCAGACUCCUACGGGAGGCAGCAGUGGGGAAUCUUCCGCAAUGGACGAAAGUCUGACGGAGCAACGCCGCGUGAGUGAUGACGGCCUUCGGGUUGUAAAGCUCUGUUAAUCGGGACGAAAGGCCUUCUUGCGAAUAGUGAGAAGGAUUGACGGUACCGGAAUAGAAAGCCACGGCUAACUACGUG